rnacentral:rRNA from 1 species
UACGUAGGGUGCGAGCGUUAAUCGGAAUUACUGGGCGUAAAGCGCACGUAGGCGGCUUUGUAAGUAAGAGGUGAAAGCCCAGAGCUCAACUCUGGAAUUGCCUUUUAGACUGCAUCGCUUGAAUCAUGGAGAGGUCAGUGGAAUUCCGAGUGUAGAGGUGAAAUUCGUAGAUAUUCGGAAGAACACCAGUGGCGAAGGCGGCUGACUGGACAUGUAUUGACGCUGAGGUGCGAAAAGCGUGGGGAGCAAACAGG